UGAGGAAUAUUGGUCAAUGGGCGGGAGCCUGAACCAGCCAAGCCGCGUGAGGGAUGAAGGCCCUAUGGGUCGUAAACCUCUUUUGUCAGGGAACAAAAGCGAGUAUGUAUACUAGUCUGAGUGUACCUGAAGAAAAAGCAUCGGCUAACUCCGUGCCAGCAGCCGCGGUAAUACGGAGGAUGCGAGCGUUAUCCGGAUUUAUUGGGUUUAAAGGGUGCGUAGCGGCGAUGCAAGUCAGCGGUAAAAGCCCGGGGCUCAACCCCGGCGAGCCGUUGAAACUGCAGUGCUAGAGAAGGCGAGAGGUACGCGGAAUGCGCAGUGUAGCGGUGAAAUGCUUAGAUAUUGCGCAGAACUCCGAUUGCGAAGGCAGCGUACUGGCGCCUGACUGACGCUGAGGCACGAAAGCGUGGGGAUCGAACAGGAUUAGAUACC
rnacentral:rRNA from 1 species